rnacentral:tRNA from 1 species
AGUACAGUCAGCUAACUAAGCUCUUGGGCCCAUACCCCAAGGAUGAAGGUUAAAAUCCUUCCUGUGCUA